GACAGAGGUGCCGAGCGUUAGGCGGAAUCACUGGGCUUAAAGCGUGUGUAGGCGGGCCGUUAAGUGUCUUGUGAAAUCCCCCGGCUCAACCGGGGAAUUGCUGGGCAUACUGGCGGUCUUGAGCAAUCUAGGGGCAGAUGGAACAAGUGGUGGAGCGGUGAAAUGCGUAGAGAUUGGAAAGAACACCGAUGGCGAAGGCACUUUACUGGGCUAUUACUAACACUCAGAGACGAAAGCUAGGGUAGCAAAUGGG
rnacentral:rRNA from 1 species